rnacentral:pre_miRNA from 1 species
AUUAACAGUAUGCCCAAGGACUCACUGCAGGACCGCUCAGGUGAAGCUUCUGAAGACUUCACCGGGAUUUCUGCAGUGAGUUCUAGCCUACAACACCUAGC